UAUCGCUAUUUGCUCUCUGCGCCUGAUUCCACCCACCUUGAUUAGACGUGACAGCCGAAUUUAGCCUGGAUUCAAACCCGGGACUGUAGUGUCACAUCUUGCACUGAGUUGCAGUGCCUUAGACCACUGCGCCACUUGGGAGCCCCAAGUACGAAUACCUUUGACAUUUUUCCACAGCUUGUGUAAGAGGAAACUUAGAAGAAGCUGUUUUUUUCUCUCUUCAUCAAGACAAUGUUAACAAUACUGUCAUUCAGUUGCAAUGGUUGACGGAACACUGUGACCCUCCGGUUAAACUCAACAUCUCCUGGUACCUAAGGAGCUCCCGCUGCUUCGACGAGGUGUUCGGUCUCGACCCUCUGAAGGCAGGGAGCUACUUCAGGACGACAGAUGUGAAACAGGAAGGAGGAAGUGGGUUCUAUGUGUUCCACCAGUACCCUGUCAUUGAGUGCAAACAGACCAUGACCCUCA